CAGCCGCCGCGGUAAUACCGGCGGCCCGAGUGGCGGUCACUAUUAUUUGGCUUAAAGCGUCCGUAGCCGGGUUGGGAAGGCCUCCGGGAAAUCUGGCCGCUUAACGGUCAGAAUGCCGGAGGAUACUCCCAGCCUAGGGAGCGGGAGAGGCCGAGGGUAUUCCCGGAGUAGGGGUGAAAUCCUAUAAUCCCGGGAGGACCACCUGUGGCGAAGGCGCUCGGCUGGAACGCGUCCGACGGUGAGGGACGAAGGCCAGGGGAGCAAACCGGAUUAGAUACCCGGGUAGUCCUGGCUGUAAACGAUGCGGACUUUGUGUCGGACAAGCUAUGAGCUUGUCCGGUGCCGGAGGGAAACCGUUAAGUCCGCCGCCUGGGGAGUACGGCCGCAAGGCUGAAACUUAAAGGAAUUGGCGGG
rnacentral:rRNA from 1 species